rnacentral:rRNA from 1 species
UACGGGGGGGGGCAAGCGUUGUUCGGAAUUACUGGGCGUAAAGGGCUCGUAGGCGGCCAACUAAGUCGGAUGUGAAAUCCCCAGGCUCAACCUGGGAACUGCAUCCGAUACUGGAUGGCUUGAAUUCGGGAGAGGGAUGCAGAAUUCCAGGUGUAGCGGUGAAAUGCGUAGAUAUCUGGAGGAAUACCGGUGGCGAAGGCGGCAUCCUGGACCGACAUUGACGCUGAGGAGCGAAAGCGUGGGGGAGCGAACAGG